GCAGGCAGCAGGAAGCAGCUCCUGCACAUUCUCUACAGUAACCAGCACGGUCUCUGUGUAAACAAAGUCCAACAGGAUCUCCAUGGUGGAGGCUGUGAGGCCCUGAAUAUCCACAAAGGACUUCCCUUUCUCUGCCAGCUAGAAGUGAGACAGAAGAGAGGACAGACUAUACAGUAUGUUAUAGCUACUGAUACCACAGCGUAGAUGAAUUCUUCAAUCUGACUAGUCAGAAGGCGAACCCAGAAAGACGAGAAAAAAAUGGUGAACUGCACUUAAACGGGAGCAAUGGACGACAAAAACAUUCCCAUGUGCGUGCAGAACAUUUUAUAUAUGAGGAGACGCUGCGUAAUAAACAAAAAUCUGAGACACUGGCGAAAAGCCUCUAUAGUAGCCAGUUAACUAAAUCCGCAAAUCUUUGGACUGUGGGAGGAAACUGGAGGAAACCCACACAGGCACAAGGAGAACAUGCAAACUCCACACUGAAAGGCCCCAGUCAACCAGCAGGUUCGAACCCAGAACCUGCUCGCUGUGAAGUGACAGAGCCAACCGCUGCACCACCUAAUGCUCAAUAUGUCAUUCAUUAAUAAAUCAAACACUAAUUGUGGGUAUGUUGCAUAAGUAAUAGAAUAACACCCUCCAGACCAAGCUGUGAUACAAAAAUAACCCACCCCUGGAGUGCAUUAUUUUCAUAUAACUGCACAGUCUGUUGUGUGUAAUUCCUGACAAGCAUUUCAAAGCCGAGCACAACAAUGAUUAGUUGUAGAAAUAAAAGGUAUUAUUUGUGUCACAAAAGGAAAAUGUGUGUCAUGAGAUGCACUAGGAAAUGGAUUACAGUGGAUCGGGUUUUGGAGAAUACAUCUGAGGUUUAAGAGGUAAGGAUUAGAGUAUGGUCACUUUCAAGGAAAGAAAACAAACACAUUUUAAAACUCUGGCCAAAUGCAUUACUAAUACCUAAAAACCUGAAGUACGACUCCUAAACCCUGCCUGUAUUGUUCUCCAAUGAAUGGCAAGUUACAAAAAAGUGGGUCAACUCGACAAAAUAUGAAGCUAUGAACCAUCACUGAGCUUUGCACGCUUUUAUACAGGCUACAUUCAUUCAUACUACAAAGACCCAUAAAUAGCUGAGAAAGGUCCGCUAAUGGUUUCCUCUAUUUUUCCCCCCCUCAUACACUUUGCAUGUCAUUUGCUAAACAAACACCACAAUGUAUCUAACAGCACGCAAACACAAAUGUGAAUAACGUACUUUUAUUGUAUUAGCAAGUUCAGUGUUAACGUAAAUAAGAUACUACCAUAAUCCAUCAACAAGUUCUUAUUCACUCCAUUACUCAGAGUCGUUCUUCACCAAGCUAAAAAUUCGACGUGAAAUAGCAGCAACAAAAAUUAAAAAAAAAUUCCCUGAGUAAAUAAAUAUUGAAACGUUUAAUACAGAU